rnacentral:rRNA from 1 species
GAUGAACGCUGGCGGCAUGCUUAACACAAGCAAGUCGGACGGGCAGUGGUGUUUCCAGUUGCUGACGUGUUAGUAACGCGUAAGAACCUGCCCUUUGGAGGGGAACAACAACUGGCUACGGUUGCUAAUACCCCGUAGGCUUAGUACCAAAAGGUGGAAUCCGCCCGAGGAGGGGCUUGCGUCUGAUUAGCUAGUUGGAGAUUUAAUAGCUUACCACGGAGAUUGUCAGUAGAUGUUCCGAGAGGAUGAUCAGCCACACUGGGACUGAGACACGGAGUAGGGAAUUACGGGAGACGGGAGAAAGGAAGAUGCAGCAAUGGGGGAAGGGCGAAGAGGGCAAUGGGGCGGGAAGAUAGAAGGACCAGGGGUCGUGAAAUUCGUUAGUAAGAGAGGAAACAAUGACGGUAUCUGAGGAGAAAGCAACGGCUAACUCUGUG